rnacentral:lncRNA from 1 species
ACUCUUUCCUCUGAAUUGGUAGGUGCUCUAAUGGCUUAUUUUCCAUUUUCUUUGGAGUAGGGAGUGGGGAUAGUAUUACUCUUUCCACUGAAUUGAUAGGUGUUCUAAUAGCUAAUUUUCCAUUUUCUUUGGAGUAGGGGUGGGGAUAGUAUUCUUCUUGCCACUAAACUGAUAAGUGCUCUAAUGGCUAAUUUUCCAUUUUCUUUGGAGUAGGGGGUGGGGAUAGUAUAACUCUUUCCUCUGAAUUGGUAGGUGCUCUAAUGGCUUAUUUUCCAUUUUCUUUGGAGUAGGGGUUGGGGAUAGUAUUACUCUUUCCACUGAAUUGAUAGGUGUUCUAAUGGCUUAUUUUCCAUUUUCUUUGGAGUAGGGGGUGGGGAUAGUAUUACUCUUUCCACUGAAUUGGUAGGUGUUCUAAUGGCUUAUUUUGGGAUAGUAUUACUCUUUCCACUGAAUUGGUAGGUGUUCUAAUGGCUUAUUUUCCAUUUUUGGAGUAGGGGGUGGGGAUAGUAUUACUCUUUCCACUGAAUUGGUAGGUGUUUUAAUGGCUUCCAUUUUCUUUGGAGUAGGGGUGGGGAUAGUAUUACUCUUUCCACUGAAUUGGUAGGUGUUCUAAUGGCUUAUUUUCCAUUUUCUUUGGAGUAGGGGGUGGGGAUAGUAUUACUCUUUCCACUGAACUGAUAGGGUACUCUAAGGGCAUUAUUUGCCAUAGUUUUCACUCCAAAUUUAUUGUUUUUCAUUCCAAAUUUUCAAUUAGUUUAGAUAAUAAAUUAUUGAAAUACUUGAGUAGCCAAUAUGUCACAAAACCAUAUAGUUAUGUUGUUAUACAUAGAAACUUAAAACUUAAAACUUAAAAGGAAAAAAAAGUAAUAAUCAAACAUGAAUUUGAUUGAUUUUUAAAUACCAAAACCAAGUACUGGUUGAUAUUGUACCACAUCAACAAUCUGUAUGAAAUGUUCCUCUCUUAUAAAUGUAUGUGGUUUCUAAAUAUCCUCAGCGUUUCUCACUUUAUGUCAAAGCAAUGGCAGUUUAUUUAUUUAUGUAAAAAUGCACAGACUCCUUGUAAAUGUAUUGGCAUUAUAGGGUAAAUAGUCCUUACAUUUUUUUGUGCAAUAUAGUUAUUAUAUUAACAGUACUACCUUAUAUAUUCUGAGAAAUCCUGCAACUAGUGCAAUAUUGCUGUAAAGUCGACAUGAAAUCCAGAUAGUUGUUAAAUUGUUCUUAUUUUAUUGAUAUUUAUUGUAAAAAGCAAGAAAUUUAUGAAAUGUUGUAAAAACUGUUAUCAUGAUAACAACAGUAUUACAGCCUAUUAGAUCUUUGUUGUAAUCAUGAUCAGUGCAAUCUCAUUGUUA